rnacentral:rRNA from 1 species
UAUAAGUGAUGGCGACCGGCGCACGGGUGAGUAACACGUAUCCAACCUGCCGAUAACUCGGGGAUAGCCUUUCGAAAGAAAGAUUAAUACCCGAUGGUAUAAUAAAGCCGCAUGGUUUAAUUAUUAAAGAAUUUCGGUUAUCGAUGGGGAUGCGUUCCAUUAGGCAGUUGGUGAGGUAACGGCUCACCAAACCUUCGAUGGGUAGGGGUUCUGAGAGGAAGGUCCCCCACAUUGGAACUGAGACACGGUCCAA